GGUAACCAUGGAGGGCCUGGGUUAAUGGUUGGACUUGAUCUUUUCCAGCCUUAGUGUUUUUAUGAGUGUGUGAUUCUAUAAAUCUGGAGAAAGUAGACAUUGAUUCAGUGUUGCUGCCCAGGUGAAUUUACACUAAAUCUGAUGACAACAUUUUCACCUUUGAAUUCAGUGUCAAGUUGAGGUCAAAGUCAGUGACAUGGGGAAAGCCCAGUCUCUCACUGGAACAGAACAAAAUGCAGAAGCUGUCAUCAGAUAUAUAUAACCUUUUUAAAGAGUAAGAAGAUCUGCUCCAGUAUAAUAUUUAACGAAUCCCAAGUAACACCACUCCAGGGGUGCAGUGUCAGAUGUGCCUUGGGUUUUUUCUUUCCUUGGACUACUGACAAGACCUGCUAUGAAAUGUGAGGAAAGCAGAAUGGAAUCCAUUACCUGUAAAAAAAGUAUCAUUCCUGCAAGGGAAAGGAAACUGUAUAUACAAUUCUAAAAAUAGGGAAGCCAUACAAGAGAAAUCCAGAGAACAUAUGAUUUUACUGCUCACUUCAUGGAUUCCCUGGUUCAGAAGAGUAAGCAAGAAAUUUGGAGAUAGAAAGCUGUGAAAGAGCCUUCAAGAAGAUAAUUUGUAAUUAUCUUGUUUACCCUCAGGGAAUACAUUGUAAUGAAACACAAAUUAGAGUUUGAAGUUUUCUUAUUAUCUGUUUAAGAAGUAACUUUUGUUGUUGUUGUCUCUAUGGUAUCUCAUGGUAUUUACUUCUAUAAGCUAACAUUUUAUGUCACAAAGUACUGAAAAAGACAAAGAAUCAAAGCCAGAGAAUCAAAACAAUAGACACAUGACAUAAGGAAAGAUUAACACACAAAAAAGAGCACAAUACAAAAUAAGGAAAUGUCAGACUUAAAUGGAAGACAGAGAUCCCAUUUACUUGUGGAUUGUUAAAGAAAAAGCAAAAACUGCUCUUCCAUUUAGUGCUAUUUGUAGAUUUGCCGAAAACAGGUUUUUGAUACUGCAUUAUUAUCGUGCAUUUUGGUUGAAGAAAAAACAAACAAAAGGACAAGAACUAACAGAAAUCCUUCUAUAUAAUGAACAUGAAGCUACAAGGCAAAAUGGAGAUAAACUCAGAUAAGAGUUUUUCAGAAAUAUUAAAAUUAAAACACUAAUAAAAAAAGGAAGGGAAAAAUGUAAUAUUGAGUUAAUAAAAAUCCUGUGGAAUUGUAUUUUUAUUCUGCAGUAACUAUGAGCAAAUUAAAAUACAAUGUAAGCAAUGA